rnacentral:rRNA from 1 species
UACGUAGGGUGCAAGCGUUGUCCGGAAUUACUGGGCGUAAAGCGCGCGCAGGCGGUUUUUCAAGUCAGUGGUGAAAGCCCGGAGCUCAACUCCGGAACUGCCAUUGAAACUGUGAAACUUGAGGAUGAGAGAGGUGAGUGGAAUUCCCAGUGUAGAGGUGAAAUUCGUAGAUAUUGGGAAGAACACCGGUGGCGAAGGCGGCUCACUGGCUCAUUUCUGACGCUCAGGCGCGACAGCGUGGGGAUCAAACAGG